rnacentral:rRNA from 1 species
ACAUCCAGAGAACUUAGCAGAGAUGCUUUGGUGCCUUCGGGAACUCUGAGACAGGUGCUGCAUGGCUGUCGUCAGCUCGUGUUGUGAAAUGUUGGGUUAAGUCCCGNAACGAGCGCAACCCUUAUCCUUUGUUGCCAGCGAUUCGGUCGGGAACUCAAAGGAGACUGCCGGUGAUAAACCGGAGGAAGGUGGGGAUGACGUCAAGUCAUCAUGGCCCUUACGGCCAGGGCUACACACGUGCUACAAUGGCGCAUACAAAGAGAAGCGACCUCGCGAGAGCAAGCGGACCUCAUAAAGUGCGUCGUAGUCCGGAUUGGAGUCUGCAACUCGACUCCAUGAAGUCGGAAUCGCUAGUAAUCGUAGAUCAGAAUGCUACGGUGAAUACGUUCCCGGGCCUUGUACACACCGCCCGUCACACCAUGGGAGUGGGUUGCAAAAGAAGUAGGUAGCUUAACCUUCGGGAGGGCGCUUACCACUUUGUGAUUCAUGACUGGGGUGAAGUCGUAACAAGGUAAGCGUACUACA